rnacentral:lncRNA from 1 species
UUCUUUGUUUUUUUUAUGAAUUUUUGCAUCAUAGCCAAAUCACUUGUAACCUUUAAAUCUUGUUUUGAUUUUGGCAGGUGAUUUUGAUGAUUUCUGUGCUCGUGCAUUGGAGCUAUUCAAUCAAUCAAAUGGCGCUCCACUAUUUACAAUAGCCAAGACCUGCAGUUCUCCAAAUCCAGCUGCUUAUCACGAGACUUUGAAUGGUAAUGCUGCUCGAAAGUAUGAUUCUAUAGAUUUGCUGCCCACUGAUGAACCCGAAGAUGGCGCACAAGAUGACUGGCAACUAAUCUGACUCCGAUUUAUGCUCGGUACGAGGCUGAUGUUAGACACCGGAAUGUGCAUACGAUCUUUUCCUCUGUAAAUUAUCACGAUUUUCCAAAACUCGGUAACAUCCCAUUGAAUGGAGAUUGGUGCGCAGCCCAGUUCUGUUACGCUUAGGCUCAAUCCAUUUCCUCUAUGUUAGAGACAUUAGAUUGUCUGUUGUAAGGUUAUGCAAUAGCUCAUUCUUUAAUGGGUAAAACCAUUUGUACACUAUGAGACCAUGGUGUGCAGCUUUCUCACCUGUUGAGGAGUCCACGUGAAUUUAAAAAUUGUGGAUCCUCUCACGUGAGGGGUUGUAAAGCACCAUUGUUCUUUAAUUGAAGAUAUUCCUUAUUUGCUGUUUAUACAUACUUG